rnacentral:misc_RNA from 1 species
AGAAGAAGAAAACGAAAAAGACACCGCGUCAGAUAUUCGACGAGCGAGCGCGUCGACGUCAUUACCAUCACGUAGGGCACCGGCUCGUAGUCGCGCUGGUGGCCGACGACGACUCGCACCCGCCGUCACUCGGCGCGUCCGAUGCUGAACGAGAGACGGCUCGAGGACAACACGCUGGCGGACGGGGAACGUAAUGGUAGCGCCGUGGUCGCCGGCCCGGCGCUCUCAUCGUCGUUGCCGUCGUGCACGGUGCCCUACAUCGGCACCGACCAGGGCUACGUGUUCGAGGGUGGCGGCACGACGACGCUGCAGCAGCCCGGUGCAGUCGGCGCCCUCGCGAUCGGCUGCACCGGUGGCGGAGGAGGUCUCGGGUUCGGCGCGUCGACGGGGGUCCCGGGGGGUGGGCUGGGUGGCGGGAUAGGACUCGGUGGAGUCGGUGGAGCCGCGGGGGUUCCAGGAAUGAUUGGUGGAACAGGAGCAGGAAGCGGAGGAGGUAUAGCAGGAGCAGGAGGGGUUGGGAGUGGUGGUGUAGGAGGAGGAGGAGGAGGAGCAGGAGGAAACGUGAACAAGGAGGUCCGUUACGCUGCAUUCGCAUCAUCUGUAGGACCGGUCGGUACCGUGGCGCCGGUAAACCUGCCUUCUCUACCGCCACCGCCGCCGCCGCCGCCGCCGCCGCCGCCACCGCCGCCGCCGCCCCUGCCGCUGCAGAUGCAGCAGCAGCGUGCCUUCUCGAGGUCGAUGACGUCCCUGCCGCCGGAGCCGUUCAUGAUCAUGCGUUCGAAGGCGCUGAACCGGCGCGUCUCGAUCAACGUCGGCGGCGUGAAGCACGAGGUGCUCUGGCGCACCCUCGAGCGGCUGCCGCACACGCGCCUAGGCCGGUUACGUGACUGCAACACCCACGAGGCGAUCACCGAGCUCUGCGAUGACUACUCCCUGAUCGACAACGAGUACUUCUUCGACCGGCAUCCAAAGUCCUUCAGCUCGAUCCUCAACUUCUAUCGCACCGGCAAGCUCCACUUGGUGGACGAGAUGUGCGUGCUGGCGUUUAGCGACGACCUCGCGUACUGGGGCGUCGAUGAGCUCUACCUCGAGAGCUGCUGCCAGCACAAGUACCACCAGCGGAAGGAGCACGUGCACGAGGAGAUGCGCAAGGAGGCGGAAUCGCUGCGGCAGCGCGAGGAGGAGGAGUUCGGCGAGGGGAAGUGCGCCCAGUACCAGAAGUGGCUGUGGGACCUCCUCGAGAAGCCGACCACGUCCAUCGCCGCGAGGGUGAUAGCUGUGAUAUCAAUACUCUUUAUUGUGCUUUCGACGAUCGCACUAACUCUCAACACCAUUCCUAGUAUGCAAGUGAAUGAUGAGAAGGGGAACUUUCAAGACAAUCCGCAGCUCGCGAUGGUGGAGGCCGUGUGUAUCUCGUGGUUCACCCUCGAGUACCUGCUUAGGUUCAGUGCCUCGCCGGACAAGUGGAAGUUCUUCAAGGGCGGUCUUAACGUGAUCGAUCUGCUGGCGAUACUGCCGUACUUCGUAUCUCUGUUCCUGGUCGAGACAAACAAGAACGCGAACGACCAGUUCCAGGACGUGCGCAGGGUAGUGCAGAUCUUUCGUAUAAUGCGGAUCCUGAGGAUCUUGAAGCUGGCCCGCCACUCGACCGGGCUGCAGAGUCUCGGCUUCACCCUACGUAACUCGUACAAGGAGCUGGGCCUGCUGAUGCUCUUCCUGGCGAUGGGCGUCCUCAUAUUCUCGAGCCUCGCCUACUUCGCCGAGAAGGAGGAGCCCGGGACCAAAUUCGUAAGCAUUCCAGAGACCUUCUGGUGGGCGGGCAUCACAAUGACCACCGUCGGAUACGGCGACAUCUACCCCACGACCCCGCUCGGCAAAGCGAUCGGCAGUGUGUGUUGUAUAUGUGGUGUCCUGGUAAUCGCGUUGCCCAUUCCCAUUAUCGUCAACAACUUCGCCGAGUUCUACAAGAAUCAGAUGAGACGAGAGAAGGCGAUCAAGAGGCGGGAGGCCCUCGAGAGGGCCAAGCGGGAGGGCAGCAUCGUGUCUUUCCAUCACAUCAACCUGAGGGAUGCCUUCGCCAAGAGCAUGGAUCUCAUCGACGUCAUCGUCGACACCGGUCACAACAUGUCCGGGGUGGAUGGUAACAGCACGGAGGGUGAGUCCGCGAGUGGUCGCGGGCCCGCGCAAACCGGACCCGGCUGUUACCGUAACUAUGAGCAUUACGGCCUGCGGCAUCGACGCAGUGCGUCCAAUGCCUGCUUCCCGAAUCUGCCCAACGACCUGCCUGCAACACCUGACAGCCCGAACCGCCGACUCCUCGACUAUGCCCAGAGCGUGCCGGGUACUCAGAACGAUGAUUACUAUCAAGACGAGAUGCCGGCGCAGCACGUCAACCAGGCCAACAUGACGUCUAGCGAUGAAGAGAAAAAAGACAGCAGAAAAUUCGAGAAAAUUGAUGAAAUACCUAGCGAAUUCGAGUGUUGCUUUUGUACCACGAAGGAGUACAAAGACUUCAGCGACGCGGAGAACAUAAUGCCGCUUGCCACCAGCGACUUUCGUAAUCCAGUCUGUCAGGAAAUGAGGUCCCUCAGGUUCAUCAGCAGUGGCGGCGGCGGCGGUGGCGGUGGUGGUAUUGGGGGCGGAAGCGGAAGUGGCGCGGACCAGCUCGUCAGCUCGUCGCUCGCGGAAACGAGGACGUCGCCCGUGCAGCCGCCGGAGACCCUGAGCUUCGCGAGGACCUACAACGAGCAGGAGGGCUACGCGAAGACGUACAACGAGCAGGGAAGCGUCGACAGUUCCGACACGUACGCGAGCUGUCAGACUCAUCCGUCGCAUUCGCAGGGCGAUCUGACCGAGGAAGCGGACAGCAAUCUUUACGUGAAUCCCCUGGAGGCAACGGAGAAAUGCGGGACCGGUCGGGUGAAAAAAUCCAUUUCCGGCGAGGUCGGGCGAAACGUCUCCACCGAUGCGUCGCCCAGUAUCGAGUCCCUGAAGGAGAUCCGGCCUUUUAACGAGGUCAGCAAAGUCAACCUGAACGACACGAUACCCAAGCAUAGGAAAAUAAGGAUCCAACAGCCGCAAAAACCGCCGAGACUACAAGCGGAGCGCAGUUGAGCGAUCGCCGCGGGCUAUCGUACUUUUCUGAACGCUCCGAUGCACGUCAAAGGGGGAAACGCGCGAUAUCGCACGUUGGCGCUCGGACACGGAAAGCGUGAAGCCGCGGGCGCAAUUUUUCGGCGAUCAGGAGAGCAUGGUGGCGCGCGGCAUCCUGAGGGAGGACAUCGCCAACCUGGAGGACAACAAUAACCAUUAC